AACAAACGCUGGCGGCGUGCCUAAUACAUGCAAGUCGAUCGGGUCAGCAAUGACUAGAGGCGCACGGGUGAGUAACACGUAGGUAAUCUGCCCUCGAGUGGGGAAUAACGAAUCGAAAGAUUCGCUAAUACCGCAUAAGACCACAGAAGCUGAGGCUUCCGAGGUCAAAGGAGCAAUUCGCUUGAGGAUGAGCCUGCGUCGGAUUAGCUAGUUGGUGAGGUAAUGGCUCACCAAGGCUGUGAUCCGUAGCUGGUCUGAGAGGAUGAUCAGCCACACUGGAACUGAGACACGGUCCAGACUCCUACGGGAGGCAGCAGUAGGGAAUAUUGCGCAAUGGGGGAAACCCUGACGCAGCGACGCCGCGUGAGUGAUGAAGGCCUUCGGGUCGUAAAGCUCUGUUGCAAGGGAAUAACAAAAUGAAUGUACCUUGUGAGGAAGGAUCGGCUAACUUCGUGCCAGCAGCCGCCGCCGUAA
rnacentral:rRNA from 1 species